AUACUUACCUGGCAGGGGCAACACCAGGAUCAGGAAGGUGGUUUCCCAGGGCGAGGCUCACCCAUUGCACUGCGGAUGUGCUGACCCCUGAGAUUUCCCCAAAUGCGGGAAACUUGAUGGCAUAAUUUGUGGUAGUGGGGGACUGCAUUUGUGCUCUCCCCAG
rnacentral:snRNA from 1 species